GCCAAUACAGAUCAGUGACAACCCCAACAUUUCUUUGACACACAUACUUAUAUUUUGAAGCUUAUAACCAAGAUAGUGAAAACCACCCUCUCUGUUCUUAUAUGUGCGACACCAAGGGACCAUCAACUUGGUUGCCAUCUCUUUCUACUCCAAAAAAUAAGGGGUUAGCAAACCACCGGGGUUGGAGGUCUCGCCAGAAAAUAUCACGUGUUCUCGACCACGGUGAUGAUCGGAAAACCCGUACAAAACCUCAAUGCCCUUUUAUGUUUCAAUAACAAGCCGCUGGGGAAACCAAAACAUACCGGAGUUUCGUGGGAAGAACUAGCCGAGGUCCACCCGCGUCGUUUUCAAAUUAUAGCACACCGAGCACGCCGUCGGAAAAUAACCGAAGCCACCGGAGCCGCACGGGAUCGACUGCAACUCGUUCCUUCCUCGUUUUCGUUCACCGAGAACAUCGCCAAAGUUCGAAACUCGCUGGAGGUCGGAGUUCCGCUGGAGCCGUACGGAGAUCAACAUGAGCCCUUUCUAUGUUUCGGAUAACCAUUACGUUCGUUCCCUUGGAUUCACGAUCCUUACUCGUGCGUUGUUUCAAGAAUUCUCACACGCAACCAACGUUGAUGAGGACGAUGCUAAGAAAAGAAAUAGCGUUGAUGCCUAGAUACACAUAUAG